GUUGUGGGUGGUUUUUU
rnacentral:miRNA from 1 species